GACAGAGGCCUCGAGCGUUAGGCGGAAUCACUGGGUUUAAAGCGUGUGUAGGUGGAUGCCUAAGUACCUUGUGAAAUCCCACGGCUUAACCGUGGAACUGCUUGGUAUACUGGGUGUCUUGAGCCAGCUAGGGGCUACCGGAACAAAUGGUGGAGCGGUGAAAUGCGUAGAUAUCAUUUGGAACGCCAAUGGUGAAAACAGGUAGCUGGGGCUGUGCUGACACUGAGACACGAAAGCCAGGGGAGCGAACGGG
rnacentral:rRNA from 1 species